rnacentral:rRNA from 1 species
UGGGGAAUUUUGGACAAUGGGCGAAAGCCUGAUCCAGCAAUGCCGCGUGCAGGAAGAAGGCCUUCGGGUUGUAAACUGCUUUUGUACGGAACGAAAAGGUCUGCCCUAAUACGGCGGGCUCAUGACGGUACCGGAAGAAAAAGCACCGGCUAACUACGUGGCCGCAGCCGCGGGAAUAAGUAGGGGGCCAGCGGUAUUCGGAGUCCCUGGGGUUUAAGGGUGCGGAGGCGGGGUGGGAAGGUCGGGGGG